CAAACGAGUAUGUUAAGAUAUUAGUAGACUUUAUCGUAGUUCACCAAUAGUGUAUCGUUAGAAUGGUGAGUACGAUCGGAGAUAGCACUUGAGUUUUGACUUUGUUUCGUCAUUUGGUGUGUGAAUUCUCUCGAGUCGGUAGUGUAGACUGUGAGAGUUGUGUUACAUCAAACACGGUAGUCGCGGGAGCUUGAGCGGCGGACGCAUGAACCUCAUGUCGUG
rnacentral:rRNA from 1 species